UGUGCAUGCGAAUAUCUUCAGCCGACUUGUGAAAUGUCCAAACAGCUCCAACUGCUACCUAAGAUGAUAACACGGACGAUAAAGGAAUGAAGGGUAUGUCUGCUUCACUACGAUUGACAAAACUUGCACAUCUACUUUCAAGCUGGUGAAAGCACGACUUCAAGAUGUAAGCUAAAAAAGAAGAUGGUAAUUUCCGGCCACAAGUGUCAGAAUCUUAAAAUUAGGGUCGAAGAGAAAUAUACGUCUCCUUUGCUUCAUAUACGUGUUAUUCAAAAGACAACAACAGUUUAAAGCCAAAGGAGCCCCAUCUAACAAAUUGUGUCAGUCGUUGGACAUUCAAAAUCAUGAUCUGAUAUAUCGUUUGGAAAUUCUCCCCUUUGCUGAUGAAAUACCAUCUAUCAUUUAAUGGAUAUUUAACUAGAACAGAACGGAACAGAACAGAACAGAACGGACCAGAACAGAACUCUCAGUCAGCAUUUACAUCUCUGUAAACGGCAUCGAUAUUGCCAUUUAAUUUAUCAUAUAUUUAUCGAUUUAUAACUGGUGUUCUGCGGACUCCGUAAUUGAUACAUUGACAUUUUCUUGACAAAAUAUUGAUAAAUCAGUUGAUAGACCGAUAUCGAAGUUGGAUUUUGCUGUUAUCCGAAUUCAGAAAGCAGCAUAAUACAAUAAGUACAAUGAUUAUCAAGAUUUAUAAAA
rnacentral:lncRNA from 1 species